UCAGGAUAUAUAGCGCCCAUCUCAGCCCAGGUUGCUUGUACACGAAAUGAGUUGUAGAUCUCAAUGGAUAAAAUAUUUAGGUAUCAACCUUGUCAUAAGUUAGAUACAUUAGAGAUGCACUUUUGUUUGGUAAUUACAUAAGUGUUGCAAUGAAAUAAAUGUUGUUGUUUUUUUUACCCCCAGGCAAUCCAGCAGCUUUGUACGACAGGGCUAACCCAGACUGGGCACCAACCCUGAAGCUUUCAGCCAAAUUGACACCAAAGAAGUCGGAGAAAAAGAAACAACAAUCAACCUACUCAGUUAAUAGAUACAACAGAGUUAUGGAAAGGCAGAAAAGCAAAGAGAAGAUAACUGCAGCCAAGGCCUUGAUAGAUCUCUUUCAUGAACCAGGACCAUCGGUUGAUGUAGAGGACAGAGACCUUCCCGAUGUUGAACCAAGGCCGGUGUGUGAGUUUGCACUGAAGGGCGCACUGGAGACUUCAAGUGAGACAACAGAUGUAUGUGUGGACCCAUUGAGAAACAGUCAGGUGGACAGUGAAAUUCAAAGGCUACUGACUGAAAACAUGGCUCUAAGAGAUCAAGUGAAGGACAACAUGUAUAGUGAAGAUGGUUUCGUAGGUCAGAAUGACAAAGUUAAAUAUUAUACUGGACUCCCAGGUUUUACCACUCUAAUGGCGCUAUUUCAUUUUGUGAAGGAUUUUAUUCCCAAAACUAGGAGCAAUGCGGAACUUGGACAAUUCACAAGAUUGGUAAUGACUCUAAUGCGAGUAAAGCUGAACUUACCCAUUCAAGAUUUAGCAUACAGGUUCAAAACUUCACCAUCAACUGUUUCAAUAACUUUUUUAACAGUGAUACAUGUGUUGUAUGUGAGACUGAAACAUAUGCUCUACUGGCCAGAGAGGGAAGAACUCAGAAAAACCAUGCCUGUGGAAUUCCAAAAACAUUUUGGUCAAAAGACUGCUGUUAUUAUAGAUUGUUUUGAGGUUUUCAUUCAACGGCCAAAGAAUCUAAUGGCAAGAGCACAGACCUGGUCCUCCUACAAACAUAACAACACUGUCAAAUUUCUGAUUGGUAUAACACCACAAGGAUCAAUUUCUUUCCUCUCAAAAGCUUGGGGUGGAAGAGCAAGUGAUAAAUAUAUAACUGAAAACUGUGGACUUCUGACAAAGCUUUUACCUGGAGAUCUUGUGUUGGCGGACAGGGGUUUUGAUAUUGCCGAUAGUGUUGGCAUGUGUUGUGCACAAGUCAACAUACCAAGUUUCACUAGAGGAAAGUCACAAU